CCUACGGGUGGCAGCAGUGGGGAAUAUUGGACAAUGGGCGAAAGCCUGAUCCAGCCAUGCCGCGUGUGUGAAGAAGGCCUUCGGGUUGUAAAGCACUUUCAGUGGGGAAGAAAGCCUUGGGGCUAAUACCCUCGAGGAAGGACAUCACCCACAGAAGAAGCACCGGCUAACUCCGUGCCAGCAGCCGCGGUAAUACGGAGGGUGCGAGCGUUAAUCGGAAUUACUGGGCGUAAAGCGCGCGUAGGCGGUCUGAUAAGCCGGUUGUGAAAGCCCCGGGCUCAACCUGGGAACGGCAUCCGGGACUGUCAGGCUAGAGUGCAGGAGAGGAAGGUAGAAUUCCCGGUGUAGCGGUGAAAUGCGUAGAGAUCGGGAGGAAUACCAGUGGCGAAGGCGGCCUUCUGGACUGACACUGACGCUGAGGUGCGAAAGCGUGGGUAGCAAACAGGAUUAGAUACCCGAGUAGUC
rnacentral:rRNA from 1 species